GACAGAGGGGGCAAGCGUUGCUCGGAAUUACUGGGCGUAAAGGGCGCGUAGGCGGGAUGGCAAGUCGGUCGUGAAAUCCCUCGGCUCAACCGAGGAACGUCGAUCGAUACUGCUGUUCUUGAGGAUUGCAGAGGAGACUGGAAUUUCCGGUGUAGCGGUGAAAUGCGUAGAUAUCGGAAGGAACAUCAGUGGCGAAAGCGACUUCCUGGACCAAUACUGACGCUCAUGUGCGAAAGCGUGGGGAGCAAACAGG
rnacentral:rRNA from 1 species